rnacentral:rRNA from 1 species
GACGAACGCUGGCGGCGUGCUUAACACAUGCAAGUCGAACGGAAAGGCCCUGCUUUUGUGGGGUGCUCGAGUGGCGAACGGGUGAGUAACACGUGAGUAACCUGCCCUAGACUUGGGGAUAACUUCAGGAAACUGGGGAUAAUACCGUAUAGGAGCACCUGCUGAAUGGAGGGGGUUGAAAAGUUUAGGCGGUUGGGGAGGGACUCGCGGCUUAUUAGCUUGUUGGUGGGGUAGUGGCUUACCAAGGCUUUGACGGGUAGCCGGCCUGAGAGGGUGACCGGGCAAAUUGGGAAUGGAAUAACGCCCAGACUCCUACGGGAGGGAAGAGUGGGGAAUAAUGCAACAUGGGAGGAAGCCUGAUGCAGAAACGUCGCGUGCGGGAGAACGGCCUUCGGGUUGUAAACCGCUUUCGCAUGUGACGAAGAGUGAGUGACGGUAAUGGGUAAAGAAGCAACGGCUAACUACGUG